AGGACGAACGCUGGCGGCGUGCUUAACACAUGCAAGUCGAGCGGUAAGGCCUUUCGGGGUACACGAGCGGCGAACGGGUGAGUAACACGUGGGUGAUCUGCCCUGCACUCUGGGAUAAGCCUGGGAAACUGGGUCUAAUACCGGAUAUGACCUGCUCUCGCAGUGGGGGUGGGUGGAAAGAUUUAUCGGUGCAGGAUGGGCCCGCGGCCUAUCAGCUUGUUGGUGGGUAAUGGCCUACCGAAGGCGACGACGGGUA
rnacentral:rRNA from 1 species